rnacentral:rRNA from 1 species
AUACGGAGGAUCCGAGCGUUAUCCGGAUUUAUUGGGUUUAAAGGGAGCGUAGGUGGACAGUUAAGUCAGUUGUGAAAGUUUGCGGCUCAACCGUAAAAUUGCAGUUGAUACUGGCUGGCUUUAGUACAGUAGAGGGGGGCGGGAUUUGCGGGGGUGGGGGGAAAUUCUUAGAUAGCACGAAGAACUCCGAUUGCGAAGGCAGCUCACUGGACUGCAACUGGCACUGAUGCUCGAAAGUGUGGGUAUCAAACAGGAUUAGAUUCCCUGGUAGUCCACACAGUAAACGAUGAAUACUCCCUGUUUGCGAUAUACAGUAAGCGGCCAAGCGAAAGCAUUAAGUAUUCCACCUGGGGAGUACGCCUGCAACGGUGAAACUCAAAUGAAUUGACGGGG